AACGAACGCUGGCGGCAGGCUAAACACAUGCAAGUCGAGCGCCCCGCAAGGGGAGCGGCAGACGGGUGAGUAACGCGUGGGAAUCUACCCAUCUCUACGGAAUAACGCAUGGAAACGUGUGCUAAUACCGUAUACGUCCUUCGGGAGAAAGAUUUAUCAGAGAUGGAUGAGCCCGCGUUGGAUUAGCUAGUUGGUGGGGUAAAGGCCUACCAAGGCGACGAUCCAUAGCUGGUCUGAGAGGAUGAUCAGCCACACUGGGACUGAGACACGGCCCAGACUCCUGCGGGAGGCAGCAGUGGGGAAUAUGGGACAAUGGGCGCAAGCCUGAUCCAGCCAUGCCGCGUGAGUGAUGAAGGCCCUAGGGUUGUAAAGCUCUUUCACCGGUGAAGAUAAUGACGGUAACCGGAGAAGAAGCCCCGGCUAACUUCGUGCCAGCCGCCGCCGUAAUAC
rnacentral:rRNA from 1 species